AAGACCAUGUAUAUGAGCUCCAAUUGUUAUGGUCAUGCAAUUAACUGCUACUGCUGAAUGCUUACCAUACCAAAGAACACUUAACUUUUCUUCCUAUUAUCCACUCUCUCAUAUCAAUACAAUAACAUCUACAACAACGAUUUCAGUACCCUAUGUAAUUCACGAAAACACAAGCAUAUCCCAAACCCUGGAACGAAUAACUUCCAAUCCACAAAAUCUGAUUAAGAU
rnacentral:lncRNA from 1 species